AGUGGAAUUGCUGGGUUAAAUGGCAAGUCUAUGUUCAACUUUUUGAGAAAUUGCUAAACUGGUUUUCAAAGCGGCUAUGCCAUUUUAUAUUCCCACUGGCAAG
rnacentral:pre_miRNA from 1 species